rnacentral:rRNA from 1 species
UACAGAGGUCUCAAGCGUUGUUCGGAUUCAUUGGGCGUAAAGGGUGCGUAGGUGGCGCCAUAAGUCGGGUGUGAAAUUUCGGAGCUUAACUCCGAAACUGCAUUCGAUACUGUGGUGCUUGAGGACUGGAGAGGAGACUGGAAUUUACGGUGUAGCGGUGAAAUGCGUAGAUAUCGUAAGGAAGACCAGUGGCGAAGGCGGGUCUCUGGACAGUUCCUGACGCUGAGGCACGAAGGCCAGGGGAGCAAACGGG